CGGCGGUGGCGGCGGCGUGGACUGUCCAGCAGAGGCAGGGCGGCCUAGGCACCGAGGCUGGGGUCUCCGCAGUUCCACCCACAGGUUCGGGCUCCGCGGCUUCCCGCGACCGUUAAUCACACCGAGAGAUCACUUUAUUAAGCAGCACAAGAAUUCACGUCACUCAAACUCAGCUCAAAGCAAGGCAGAGACUGCGGGUCCCUCCUCUGCUUCCCAGCGUGUCAGAUCCCUCUGCUCCUACCACUCGGACCACUGGCACUUGAAAUAAGCUUGAUCUCAAAGUUGGCAGGUUCCAGGGCUUCUUUAGUGACAUUUACAGCUUUCCUUGCCGAACAGAAGCCACAAUGAAGAGGGAAAACCCUCCAGCAUAUAGAAAAAUGCAUCACAUGGGGCGCCUGGGUGGCUCAGUCAGUUAAGCAUCUGCCUUUGGCCCAAG